rnacentral:rRNA from 1 species
GUGGGGAAUAUUGCACAAUGGGCGCAAGCCUGAUGCAGCGACGCCGCGUGAGGGAUGACGGCCUUCGGGUUGUAAACCUCUUUCAGCACAGACGAAGCGCAAGUGACGGUAUGUGCAGAAGAAGGACCGGCCAACUACGUGCCAGCAGCCGCGGUAAUACGUAGGGUCCGAGCGUUGUCCGGAAUUACUGGGCGUAAAGAGCUCGUAGGUGGUUUGUCGCGUUGUUCGUGAAAACUCACAGCUUAACUGUGGGCGUGCGGGCGAUACGGGCAGACUUGAGUACUGCAGGGGAGACUGGAAUUCCUGGUGUAGCGGUGGAAUGCGCAGAUAUCAGGAGGAACACCGGUGGCGAAGGCGGGUCUCUGGGCAGUAACUGACGCUGAGGAGCGAAAGCGUGGGGAGCGAACAGGAUUAGAUACCCUGGUAGUCCACGCCGUAAACGGUGGGUACUAGGUGUGGGUUUCCUUCCUUGGGAUCCGUGCCGUAGCUAACGCAUUAAGUACCCCGCCUGGGGAGUACGGCCGCAAGGCUAAAACUCAAAG